rnacentral:rRNA from 1 species
AUGCUCAUCACAUUUUUAUAUAUGUGCACCAUAGUUAAAGUUUGCAAAUAUUAUUGCGCAAAAGCAGUCUGUUCCUUGCACCUGUUUUGCAAGCUGGAUUAUUCAAAGAAUAUAUACAAAGAUGGAAAAGGCAGUCGUGUCAGAUUAAUGUGGGGAGGGCAAUAUUGGGGAGGAGGUGUUGUCGCCAACCUCACGUUGAUGUGCGGUACUUGCGCCUCUCUGCUUCAUAUGGACAUAAGGCACCAAACUAGAACAUUUCCAUCAUGUUAUUUGGUGUUUAGAAAGUGUUUAUCUGUAAGCUACAUUAAUACACUAGUAGUCCCACAACGUUUUGCAUAUGAAUAG